CAGAUGUGAAAGACCCGGGGCGUCAACCUCGGAAUUGCAUUUGAAACUGGCAAACUAGAGUACUGUAGAGGGGGGUAGGAAUUUCAGGUGUAGCGGUGAAAUGCGUAGAGAUCUGAAGGAAUACCGGUGGCGAAGGCGGCCCCCUCGGACAGAUACUGACACUCAGAUGCGAAAGCGUGGGGAGCAAACAGGAUUAGAUACCCUGGUAG
rnacentral:rRNA from 1 species